AGGAAAUCGUAACCUAGGACAAGCUGAUGGCAUAAAAUUACGACUUUGGGGCCUGGAUGCCCAAUAGUCCUGUCACCUUGCAGCUUCCCCCACCAACUAAAAAGGGGAAAGCAAGUGAAAAAAGCAUGAUAGAUACAUUCCCCAAUAUUCAAACAACAGUUCAUGGCAUGGCCGUCAUGUGGCUACUCAGCAAGCAGUCCUCUGACUCUAUCUUUCUUGGCCAGUACCCAGAGGAGCAUUUCACUGAGGAGGUUCCCUGCCAAAAAAUAAAGGAUUUCCAAGUAGAGCUCAAAAGGCUGAGUGCAGAGAUCAAAGCCAGAAACUCAGUGUUGGACCUGCCAUACACAUACUUGGAUCCUGACGUGACUGAAAACAGUGUGUCCAUUUGAAUAUUAGAAGGCAGCUUCUCUUCCUUUAGUUCAGUAACAAAAACAGAAAAGAAAGUGAAGUUUGAGCUCUGCCUGAAACUCAUUCUAUUGAUUAACUUUAGUUUACCAGCAAUUUCUAAAAUAUUCUUCUGAGUUAAUACAAUGACCAGGUUUUAUGUUUCAGGUUUUAUGUUUCAUAAUUAGAAAAUAUAUCAGUGGAAAGAGUGUUUCUGAUUUAUAAUGAUUUCUACUUUUUUAAUCAUAAUUUUAAAGCUGUUUCUCUCUUUGAUAAUGAAAAGGUAAAUACGUAG